AGAAUGGUCAGAAUAAGAAGCAGGCUAAAAAUCUCUGUAGACUUCAAAAAAAAACUGAGGACUUGCAGACCCAGGUAGUCUGAAUAGUGCAUGGGGCUACUUCAGGGCAGAUGGAUUGGCUGAAAGUUGUUCACAAAGCAGUUACACUCUCUGAUCUUCAUCCCCACACAUUGAUUUUCUGGACUCAGUGACACCAGGUAUAAUGGAGUAACCUGCCAAUGACCCCAUCCCAAAUUCUAAAGGCAACAUGCUUUAUCCAUUAACACAGAAUUUUCAGUCAGAUUUUUGGUGUGUUAUGUGUGAUUAUGAACAGAUAGCCAAGAAUCACAUUUGAGGAAGCCCUCCAAUAUGAAACGUAGAGAUCAAAAUGAAUAGAAAAGAAUUGAGCACAGAAAAAACCAUAAAAUAGUAUAGAAAAAAACUUUAAAAAUACUGUUCAUCCAGAGAAAAGACAAUUCAUCCACAAAACAAGAAGGACAAUUAGAGAACAGUAAAAUAUUCUUGGAAAUUAUCAAAUAAAGAAAACAUGAAUAUACUCUAGAGAAGAAUGACAUGUGCUCUGGAUUAAAAGAGCCUACCAAAUGCCCACCACAAUGAAUAAGAAAUAAAUAAACCAAAACCCACAACUAGAAAUAUCAGAACUUUAAAAUAUCAGGGCCAAAAAGAAGAUCCUAGGAGCUUCUCAAAUAGGGUAGGGUGGGUAUGAAACCAUGCAUAUACAUAAAAAUGAAAAGCAAAAUGACAGAAGAAACUGAAGCCCUCAGUCCUGUAACUGUAAGGAACUGAAUACUUCCAAUAAACGGUGUGAGCUCAGAAGUCAAUUCUUCCCCAGUUGAGCCUCAGAGAAGACUGAAACCUUUGAAGACAUUUUGAGUACAGCCUUGAUUGCAGACUUAUAACCCACAGAAACUAUGUUGUUUUAAGCUGAUAACUUUAUGGUAUUGUUACAAAGCAACAGAUAACAAAUAUACAAGUGGCAAGAUUAUUCACUUGUAAGGGUAGAAUGAAAGUAUUUUCCGACAUAUUAGACCUAAACAAUCUUAGCUGAGAUUUCAACUUUCCAGAGCUCUAUCAAAAAUAGAUUGCAUUCAAGAGAAUCUAAGGCUUGACAGAGUAAUGAAUGAUAAAAAUUGAAAAAAAAAAUUGGGCUUGCAUGUGGUAAUUAUGGUGGGAGCAUUUUGUUGUGAGCAGCAUCACACAUCUGUAGAAGAACCAUACAAUCUAGUUUUUGAUAACAUUGUACAAUCCAGGGCACUGUACUUUGCAAACAGUACACAAAUAGGCGGGGGAGAAAAUUAGUGAAAUAGAAGUAUAAGAAACUCAAAACACCCUGGUGCAGACUGCAUUUGUAGUCAGAUUUGUUCAUAUAACUAACCCUACCAUGAGCAAUGGUAUCUUCAGCUGCAAAGAAGGGCAUGUGGGUAUUUGUAUAAAUUUCACUUGCCCCACUGUACCCCAAUUUCAAAGGGCCUAAUAAUGCUUUUUUUGUACAAUAUGAAUUGAGUGAUAUAGUUCCCUGACAUAGUGGUUUUAACACUCUCUCCACUCUAAUUACAGUUUUUUCCCCCACUUGGAGGCCUUCUCACUUACUGUGCCCUUGGUUUUGAGCAGAUAUUUUCAUGAGUUAUGCCCUCACAUUACUCAGCUUUGCUUAAGUAUCACACUUUGGGAAGCUUUUCCUUGUUGCGAUGCCUCAAGUACUAGUCCUUUGCCCUGAUUUACUUUUCUUUAAUGCGCUUAUUAUUAUUUAUUAAUUUUACACACCUCCCCCAAACAGACUGUAAGCUCUUUGAGGGAGAGAUGUCUUUAUUCAUUGCUCUAUCCCGAGACCCACGUAGGUAGUGAGCAAUUAAUAUUUAACUAAAUGAAUUAAAUUUCAAAGCCAAACUUUCACAUUUCUUAGUAAAGAAUGAGAUAUAGUAAGACAAUAAUCUAAACUGGAUUUCAUUCUAUACUAUUUAAAUAUCUUCUAAACGUGCACAUUUUCUUCAAAGAAUUAAAUGCAAGGAAGUUAUAGACAGAUCCACUUCUAAGGAAAUUCAAGAUAAUUAGAAUAGAGUACCUACUCUUCAUUCUCUCCACAAUUACAAAUUUAUAUCACUGUAACAUCAAAUACACUACCCCAACCCUCUCAUCUUAAUAAUCACAAAACAUGAAGAUAAAGGCAGGGGUAAAGAUUGGUAUAAUGUUAUUUGGUUUUUGAGAUUCUGGGUAUUAUUUACUCUAAAAGUGAUGUUUUCCUUAAUGUAUUGGAAUGUUAGUCAGAAUGGAAGUGAACAUUUACCCCUUUUUGACCACUACACUUAUUUGAAACAAAAGCAUUGCACUGUCAAGAAAAAGAAAAUCCCAAGGCCCCCAGCUGACUGAACGAACCAUCGUCUUGGCCGAGAGGACCACAGAGAAACCAUGAAAAUUGAGUUACUAGCCAUGAUGAGAUGUGAGUGAUGUGUAUUACUGACGUCCAAAAAGUGAAAUGACCUACUGAAAUUCACGUUUUGUGGCUGAACUUGUGCUGGAAACUGGCUCUGUAGACUCUGAUUUUUACUGCAACAUGCUGUAUCCCCUUUCCAAAAGAUGGUAACAAUGAAAAUAGCUCCAAAGCUGUAAAGCUUUUCUGGAUAAGAGUCAAGGAUAACCUCAUGACUAAAUGAAUAUUUUUGAAUAUUUUUGAUCCAUGACUGGUUGAAUGCAUGGAUAAAGAACCCACAGAUGUGGAGGACCACAUGUACUGAGUCUUACAUGCUUUACUAAGUACUCUCAGGACUCUGGUGACAAUGAGAGAAUUUUUAGCAGUUGUACAUUAAGUAAGGAUGAUACAGAAGAAAAUACUUCUGUAGGAGACUAAAGAAUGUUCAUUUGUAAAGCCACCUUUCAAUUUACUUAUAUUUUGGAAAACAAAUAAUGAAUAGAAUUAGUUAUAACACUUCUAACAGGCAUUAGCAAUCACAUUUGAUGCCAUUCAGGUCUGUGUUCAAAUGCUGAACUUAACACUAUUAGCUGUGUGACUUUGGAUAUGUUAUAUAACUUCUGUAGCCUCAUUUACUCAUCUGAAAAUGGGAUAAUAAAUUUCUACCUCAAGGGUUGUAGAGGAAGAUUAAAAUCAUAAAAGUAAGUUUCUGGCACAGAGAAUAUAUUCAGUUUUUGCUCAUUAGUACAGAAUGCAAAUAUGCUUAACUUCUGAAUAUUAACAAUGCACUCAUAUAUAAUAUAUCAAUAAUCACUAAUAAAGAAUAAAUGAAAAUGAUAGUGUUAUAUAAUAAAGUGGCCAAAAAAGGUGUUAAAUGCUGGUUUAAGAGUUGUAGCCUGUGCCAUUUUAUAAUAUGUGUCAUUUUUUGUUUUAUAAAAAUAUAGAAUGUUAGUAAUAAUAUUUCUCAGUGGUGGUUCAUUGCUCCUCAUCAUGUUUAGAGUAGAGAUAUUUAGGUGGAAACUGUAUUUCAUGUAUCAGAGGGUAAUCUAGCAUGUCAGUUACACUUUCUCUAUAAAAGGAACCCUUUUAAUGAAUAACUGUAAUGGAAAUUGUGCUUUAAAAUGUAAAGUUAUUAGAACAUUUGCUGGACAAUCUGCUUUUUAUUAAUAUAAGUUAAAUUUUAUCCAUUUGUGGUGAGCACUUUAUUUGGUCACAUUUUUCUUACAGGAAAGUCUUAUAACUACUUGUAGAGUUAAUGACAAGGCCAAAUUACACACAGAGUUAAGAGAUAGGCAAUAUUUCUAAAAAGACUGCUUUUAUGAAACUGCUAAUAAAUUGAUUCCUAUUUUUCACUAAUGACCUGAAAAACAACCAAAACCUGUCACACUUCAAACAAAACUGAGUUAAUUGCAGUAAUUCUUCUAAUUUAUGUAGAGGAGAUUUCCUUUCAGUUAUCACAUAUCCAUGAUUAAAAUAUGUGCAGAUCCAUUUUGGUAUGUAUAAAAUUUUGUUAGAAAUAUUUACUGGGUAUUAAUUUAAAACUAAGAAAUGCACUAAUUGUAAAAUUUUUAAGGCAGAUUAUGAAGGAUGCAUUAUAUAAAUGGGAAAAUUCUCAGCCCUACUUCUCACUUAAAUAAGCAAUGCAAUUUUUUAUGAAAAUAAUGGGUAAGUUUUAUAGUAUUGUCCUGUAAUCUUCUUCGUAUUAAUUUUUGCUUGCAUAGUGACCACAGUAUUAUUUUAUAAAUAUUAUUGUUUCACGUUUGAUGCUAGUGAAUAUGUGAGUUGAGCUUUAAUAACAAAAACAUUUCUCACCUUUUACAUGUGCCUUUCCUUACAUUCCUGUUUCCAAUAUAACUGAAGUAUAAACUAUAAGAAUAAAAAACAAUGUCGGAUUUGUAGGAUAUAGAGUUAGACUUGCCUGGACCAUUGGGUUGGGGAUGCAGCUGAGGGUCUUUGUAGCAUGACUUGCUACUCAGGGAGGCUCCAUCAUGGGAUUAUAGUGCUUUUUCAAGCUGUCUGAUGAGACUUUUAACUUGCAAUGUCUAGGUAUUGCAGUGCCUUCUUCUCGUCACGGUUGCUAAAAACACACAGCCUUUUGUCAGGCUACAGAAUGUUUUAAUUCCCAAUGCAAAUCUGGGUGACAUGUUUGUUAUGCUAGUGGAUAUACCUGACAGAUCCUAUUCUGAGUUUUCCAGGAAAAAACGCAGGGCAGCACGUUUGUGGGCUAGCGAUCCUUUUAUGUGAGCAUGCCUUUUAGUAAUUGGGGAAACUGUUUCAAACCAGAGUUGAUUUGAUACAAAAAUAAUUUGCAAGUGGUUUUUGUAUAAUUUCUAAUGUAAGAUCAUCUUAACAGAUCUAGUUGUUAGUUAUAAGGAUGGUUUUAUGGUUUGCAUGAAGCAGUAAAUAAUAGUAAAGGCAAAUAAAAAUAAAGCUUUCAUCACACCUUUGCUAACCUUUAGAAAUACAUUCAUUGAAUUUUUGAGUUACUUACACAUAUGUAUACAAAAUGUGUAAAGAAUUAUGGUAUACAUUCACCUACCAUAAAACAGAACAAUUAUGUACACGUUUCUGAAAUCAUAAAUCAUAGGUGUUCAUAAAAGUAUGCUGAAGUGUAUUUAGUAUUCAGUGCAAAAAUAGAUAUUAAGAAAGCUUUCCUUGAGAUUUAAACUCCAUCCUUUAUUUAUAAUGAGAUACAUUGCCUUUAGCCACCAGAACACAGAUUCAAAUUCAGGUCGCUUGCAUGUAAGGUAACCUACCUGAAAUGAAUUUUUGGUCACAAUAUUUAAUAAUGUUAUGGACUUGAUUGUGUAUGCAGUGUCUCUAGGAAAUAAAGUUUCUUGAAUCUAAAAGCAGAUUUUUAGAUCAUAUUACACUAUGUUCUAAAUUCUCCAUUUCUUUUUUUAGAUUACAAGAAAGGAGGCAAGUUAAGCUGGCUUUGAAAAAUUUUAUUAAUUUUACAUGGUACCACUACAAAGAUUUUAAAAUGUUUCUCAACUACAAAAUGUUACUAUUUGCAAGGUUUCCGCAGUAUUCUUAAUUCCUUUUCUAUCUCAUCCUUUAUAUCUUUCACUUGCUUUGUUUCAUUCUUAUAUAAAUGUCUUUAUUUUGAAUUUAUCUUCCCCAAUUUCAUAUUUAUUAUCUGAGACUGUUCUAUAUAAGUAAAUGUAAGCAGAACUAGUAGUAUACAAAACUAGGCAGAAAUAGGUUAGAAUUGAGCAUGUAUGUAUCCUUUUAAUCUUUUCAUUGAACAUGCAGGAAGCAUAUUUAGAGCACUUUAAUCUUAUUUGAAUUAAUUGUUGUGUUGGUUCAAUUAAUAUGUUUGAAUUUCCUUACUCAGGGGCAAAAUUGUGAUAAAGUAUUUAAAUUUCUAUUUGCAGCCCUUACUGUGUGGCGUGCAAAAAGGAGCUUAUCUUGUUUCAAUUUGCAGGCCACCAGAAUCUAUUUUCCUUUUAAUAUAGGUACAAGAAAGACUAAGUACCUUGCCUUACUGCUAUAAGAGAGAACAUUCUUAGACCACAAACAUAUUGAAAGAAGAUGUUGAAUUAACUAGAGAAGUUCUGCUUUAUUUUAAAUAGUUUUACUGCUUAGUGAGCUCUUAAGAUAUGUCAUAUUACACUUUGAGUUAUUUGCUGUUGUGAAGGUUCGGCAACUCAAUGAAGAAAUACAUUUUGGAUUUUUUUCUUUAUUGUUAUAAAGUACCUGCUGGAAGGCUCAGGGAUAUCUAGGUUAAUGUGUUUCUAUUUCAGUACCCAAAAAACAAACGUGAGCUCUUGGAAGGGUUGUGUUCACAUCCCGGCUGACAAUAAUUUCAUAGGAGUUAGCACCUGCUGAAAAGGUGUGGGUUCUGUGGUAGAGCAAGGGGAGUGGAGGGAGAGAGGCUUUAAACAAAAACUUUAACUGUAAAAGAAACAAGUUUUCCUCUGGGAAAUUACUCAGAGUGCAAUACAAGCAUAUUUUUCUAAUUAAAUAGAUUAGUUUAUGCCGUUGGCACUUAAAAGAAAGUCCUUAGAUUCACAGCCUCCUGAGUUAUAAGUAUUUCCCAGGUUAAUUCUCUUGAAAUUAAAUCUGGCCCUGUUUCUUGCCAUUCUAUUCCUUUUUUUUUUUCUUCCUAUUUGCUUUUCUCUUUUCACCUACAGCUCAUUUCCUUCUAUCCCUCUAUGAUCUGUCCACCUUUCUCUUUUCUUUUCUCAACUCUUCUGCCUAUUGAAAUGAGAGCAGCUCCAACAUUGAAUGAGACCAUCUCUGACAUUCCUCUCUUUGUCCUUUGAGUCAGAAUGAAUCACUGCAUAGCCUGUAUCUUCAUAGGACUUAUUUUAUCCUGCUUCAUAUAUACAUUCCUUAACUGUCUGCCUUGAAUUGGUUGCUCACUUGUCCAUCCCUCUGACUGCACUGUGGGCAUCUUGGAGGCAAAGGUGCCAUUUGCCCCCUCCAGCCUCCAAUGUCAGACAUACAGUUUUGCAUAGAGGAGGCACUCAAGGAGGUUGAACUUAAUGCUUGUGGUUAAUGCUUAUCAACAUAUAAAUCCUUAAAAUCUGUGAAGAAUCAUUUUUCUUUUUCUUUUUAAAUUCAGGCUUCCUCUUUUACUUUUGCCUUUUUACAUCUGUCUCCUCAUCUCCUGUUCACUCACUGAGAUACCCCUAAGUGCCACCACAGAGAAGAGUAGAGAGCUGUCUGUGUGUGGAGGGUGUCUCUACACUGCCUGUGCACAGUGUGUGCUACAGACGCACGGGAUUCACUGAUCCCCAGAAGAGAACUGAAGAGAGACCAGGGCUGAGCGAGAAAUUGUAUUGUACUAACAAGCAAUCAUUGGGAAAUCGUUUCAAGACUUUGACAAUAAUUUCCCAGCGGUUGGUUGUCUAGAAAAGGGAAAGAAAAACGGAAAGGAAGAAAUAGUAUUUUUUACUGAAUAUCAAAUAAUUCCAUAUGACAAUGCAAAUCAAGUUUGAAUGCCAGAAGCUUAGAAAUUAAAGCUCACUCAGCCAUUAGUUUGUCUGUCUUGAUCAAGAAGGCGUGGAGAGUUGUUGCCUCGAAAGGAAAUGUAGAAAAGGAAUUUGAAGAAAGGAGGCUUAAAAGAAGAGCAUUUUUCAGUUUGUUCCAAAUGAAAGCCACUGCAAGUCGGUGACACAGAGCUAAUGUAUCACUAAAAUGGGAUAAAGUAAACAAUGUUAGAUCAGACCCUGACAUGUAAUACUGGAGAAAUCAUCUUAUAAAAAGAUUAAAAGAAGGAGGCAUAAAGAUCCUAAAUAGCACGGCUUUAUGAAAUGGAUUACUUAGAAGUGUGGUCUGUGGUUUUAUUUUGCGUGACACGUUGGCAUACAUACUGUACAUAGACAAAACAAAUUGCUUUGAGUAUUGUAACAUGCAUUUCCAAGAGCUCCUGAUUUCGGUAUGUGCUUUACAUAAGUGGUUUCUAUGUUUAUACCUUUACUGAUGGGAACUCAUUUAUAACCUACUGCAACGGACUUUUUGACUGUCUUUUUUGAUGAACUGCUUUUCAGUUCACAUAAUUUUUUUGAGGCUUCUGUGUCAUAAAAGACUUCUUCUAAUGCUGCAUAUUAUAACAGAAAAUUGCACUGAGGAAGAAGGCUGGAGUCAAGGUUAGAUAAAGAAAACCGAAGCCUUUAUAUUUCUUUCUCCUAUAUUUCUUAAAUCAAUUGAAAAUGGUCACUGGUUUACUUUGUAAUAUUGCAAAGUCUGAGUUCAUGGGAAAAUUUACUUAAAAAAGUAAAUGGAAGUUUUCAGCUUCUAAAAAAAUGCAGUUCACUAAAAGAUAUACAUUGGCUAGCGAUUGAGCAGUUGGCAAGAUGUCAAGGCCAACGUCAGAUUCCCAUUUCCAGCAUCAUCUGUCAACCACUUUUUAGGAGUAAUGUAGCCAAAAAGGAGUCAAAUCCCUGCAUCUCUGUCUUACCACCAGGGGCAUGAUUGCUGCUUGGGAAGAAACUGGAGCCCUCCCCUACUACCUAAUGAGCAUCAGGGGCAAGCAUCCCAGCUUUUGCACAGGACCUCAACAUUCUUUUCUCCCACCGCUGAUUUCAUUUAUACCUCUGCUUCAGCUCAUUUCUGGGGUGAGUUUGGUGGCCCUGCGCCAACCUUUCAGUAAAUCUAAGGGACUCAGCUAAAGUGAGAGAAGCUAUAUCAUUAUGAUAGACAUUUUAUUUAUUUUUAAUAGACCAACAUGGCAACAUAAUAUCUUUAUGGAGAUAAACAGUUAUUUGCUUUAUUCAAGCUCCAUAAAUAACACAUUUGCCACCAGGGCUGCCCCAGGUAUCUUGUACACAUCAACUGAAGAGUCCAAAUUCAACUGUCACUUUUUCCCUGAAGCCUCUCUGGGUACUCUGCUUGAUGAGAUUUUCCCUGUACUGAAAGCCUAUUAUAAUGUAUUUGUUUUCUGUAGCACAUAGUUAAUUAUAAAUAACAACAUGUCCUUCAUCCAGAAAUGUGGGGAAAAUCUCAUAGCACUCAGUUGCUUGAUUCCAGAAAAAAAGGUACAUGGUUGUGUAAAAAUCAAUGCAGGACUUACUAUGUGUGCAAUUUAUUGAACACCUACUAUAUACCACACCAUGAGUUAAGUGCUGGGGAUGUAAAAGUGGAUAAUACCUUUAAAGGGCUUACAUUGUAGCAGGGACAACAAUUUUAUAAACAUAACAAUUACCCUCUAUAUAAUAUAGUAUGUUGAGUCGUAACUAUACAAACAUUUCUGUGGUUCUCCAGAAAUGAGUCUGAUUAUUUCUAUCUUGGAUUUAGAAAAUGGUACCUACAGGGAGACUUCUCUGGAGAUUCUUAUUUCUCCAGGCUUGAAGACCGACAAUGAUAUUUAUUGUCAUUAUUUUUAAAUGUAGAUAAGUAAAAGAAAAGGCAUUCAAUGCAUAGACACAUAGGGUGAAACGGCAUAUUGAAUUUAGGAGCUAUAUAGAUUUGUGAAUUACUUGAAUAGAAUUGUAGAAAAUGGCAUUAAUAGUAGAAAAAAAAAACCCACAAAACUAAGAGGUGAAACUAAACAAGCAAGCCAUAGAUACAAUCAUAAGAGGCCUUGCUUAUCCAGGGCACAGCAGAUAAGAAUGAGCAAAGGCUGGAUGCAGUGACUCGUGCCUGUAAUCCCAACAUGUUGGGAGGCACAGACAGGUGGAUCACCUGAGG